rnacentral:rRNA from 1 species
ACGGGAGGCCGCAGUGGGGGAUAUUGCACAAUUGAGGAAACUCUGAUGCAGCAACGCCGCGUGAGGGAAGAAGGUCUUCGGAUUGUAAACCUCUGUUUUUGUUGAAGAAUAACUGACGGUAGCCAAAGAGGAAGCCACGGCUAACUACGUGCCAGCAGCCGCGGUAAUACGUAGGUGGCAAGCUUUGUCCGGAGUUACUGGGUGUAAAGGGUGCGCAGGCGGGACUGCAAGUUGGAUGUGAAAUACCGAGGCUCAACCUCAGAGCUGAAUCCAAAACUGUAGUUCUUGAGUGGAGUAGAGGUAAGCGGAAUUCCGAGUGUAGCGGUGAAAUGCGUAGAUAUUCGGAGGAACACCAGUGGUGAAGGCGGCUUACUGGGCACUAACUGACGCUGAGGCACGAAAGUGUGGGUAGCAAACAGGAUUAGAUACCCUGGUA